rnacentral:misc_RNA from 1 species
CCAGAAGUAGGUACCCUAACUGGUCCCUCUCCAACCCUUGCAUCGUUACCACCUCUAGCUGUCCUUCGGCGGCCUGCCUCGAGAGGCACGCCGGAGGGCGUGAACCCUUGUCAUUGCUCCGUAACCCAACCACAUUCUGAGUAAACAAGAUAUCAAAUCUCUGAUACAAACAUGAAUAGUCA